GUAAAUAUAGUUUAAUUAUUAAAAUAAGUUCUUGAAAAGGAUUUGAUAUAUUUUGGGAUAUUAUCUACA
rnacentral:tRNA from 1 species